GUAAAGUGUGUAAAGUGUGUGUAGUGUGUAAAGUUGUGUAAAGUGUGUAACGUGUGUAAAGUUGUGUAAGGUGUGUAAAGUUGUGUAAAGUGUGUGUAGUGUGUAAAGUUGUGUAAAGUUGUGUAAAGUGUGUAAAGUGUGUAAAGUUGUGUAAGGUGUGUAAAGUUGUGUAAAGUGUGUGUAGUGUGUAAAGUUGUGUAAAGUGUGUAAAGUUGUGUAAAGUGUGUAAAGUGUGUAAAGUUGUGUAAAGUGUGUAAAGUUGUGUAAAGUGUGUAAAGUUGUGUAAAGUGUGUAAGGUGUGUAAAGUUGUGUAAAGUUGUGUAAAGUGUGUAAAGUGUGUAAAGUUGUGUAAAGUGUGUAAAGUUGUGUAAGGUGUGUAAAGUUGUGUAAAGUUGUGUAAAGUGUGUGAAGUUGUGUAAAGUUGUGUGAAGUUG